UUUCCCAAAUUAAUUUACAACGAAUGAAAGAUUAAAAUAUGAGAUGGAAAGACAAUUAGGUUUUAAACAUUAUUGUAUAUUAUGUCAGAUUACAAAAUAACACAUUUUCGAUGUAAUAUUUAAAUAUAAGUCAUCUGCCGUCGAAUGAAACGAAUCUUCGUUCGUCGUUGAAGAGAACAAAAUCUUCAUGAAAUACUGCCAACUCCAUUCAAAAAGGAGUAAAAUUUCUAUUCUGUGAGAAAAUUAGCAAAGCUUCUUGAUUUCCAUUCUUACAAUCAUUAAGCAAGGACAAAAGAGAAGCUAUCUGUGAAUCCUCAAACCUGUCUGAAAAAUAAAAAAAUAAUGAGUCUGACAUUAGAAUCCAUAGACAGUAAAGUGGUUUUUAUGGUAUAAAAUCUUUCUAUAAGACUUGGCAUGUUUUUGGCUGCAUAUACUUUUGGCAUACUAAAAUAAUACCAGGUUUAACAGAAUUGAUUUUGCAAAGAUGGAAAGCAUACCCCCACAGGAAUAUAUCUUAUGUUAAAAUCCUCCAAAAAAAUACUAUCUACGGAUCUACAGAAAUUCAUUAAAGUCAAUUAUUUUUAUGGGGUCCGGUAUAACGUAUAUCCCUAAUUGAAUUAUCUCCAGAUUUUCAAAGGAAAACAGGAAGGGUUGUCGCAGCGAAGGGUACAUCAGCUGCUUGUUUAAAUGCUCCGCUCUAAAGUAUAAAUGGGCCUAUCGGAGGAUUAACCCUUUGAUGAUAUAAAAGAGAAAUUGGAGAGGUUAAAAGAUCCACUUCCCCUAGAAUGGGGAAAGCUCUCCAACAGACUAAUUAGAUCAAAGCGGAGAGACAAACGAUGGCAAAUACAUGAUGAAAGGUGGUGAACAUUUGAGUAGACGCUAAAAUCACUUUGAUUUCUAUUUGGCAAUAUUAUUCAAUUAAUUUGGGAAUAAUAGCCGUCCAUUCGAACGAUGAUGAAUAAAUGAAUGGAAAAAUUGCGCUAAGCGAACAAAAUUGAACACCACAUUGCCAUUGAUUAAUGGUCAUGGAAACACAAUGUCAGACAUUAAAAAAAAACUUACAAAAACAGCAACAAUUGGUAAAAUUACGAUUGCUAAGAAACAAGUUUGAGGAACGGCAACACACGCAGCGUCUAUACAUUACGUUGCAGGAUCUGGAAAAUAUUAAUCCUCAAGCUGUAGGGAAAGAAGUAAAUGAAUAACAAUACCAAAUACAUCUCGAAUCCGGCUGCUAUUUUAAUGGAUCAAAAUACGAGUUCGUUUUUACGUUAUCAAGAGACUUUUCUUCCAGCGCUACGUUCUUAUGGUUUGCUCUGCAGGAGUUUCCGUUACAUUCUGCAUAUUAUUUUUGACAAAACAGUCGACAAAGUUUUAGUUUUCUCUCACAGAUUUACUAAUCUUAUCUAUAAUAUUACGCAUAUUUAUUGUAUUCUAUGUAUUUAUCAAGAAACAAAUUUUUGUAAUCUAUCGUAUAUCUGCGUAUUGCAACUACAUGUAUUUUGAUGUACUUUGAUGUGAA